rnacentral:rRNA from 1 species
GCGUGAGUGAUGAAGGCCCUAGGGUUGUAAAACUCUUUCAGUCGUGAAGAUAAUGACGGUAACGACAGAAGAAGCCCCGGCUAACUCCGUGCCAGCAGCCGCGGUAAUACGGAGGGGGCUAGCGUUGUUCGGAAUUACUGGGCGUAAAGCGCGCGUAGGCGGAUUGGUCAGUUGGGGGUGAAAUCCCGAGGCUUAACCUCGGAACUGCCUUCAAAACUGCCAGUCUUGAGUCCGGGAGAGGUGAGUGGAAUUCCUAGUGUAGAGGUGAAAUUCGU